GGUAUGAUUUUGAAGUUGUUAACAUUAAUCGUCGAGCAAUUAAUGCUACCUCAAACAACAUUAAGAUUGGGCAUCGCAUACUCGCACAAGGUAUGUUGCUCCAGGGGUGGGUGUGGUGGUGGUUAAAUUUCUACUCAUGAAUCUUCUAUGGUCUGGUCUCUUUGUGGAUGUUGGGCGUCUCCCAAAUGUUGUGCCCUCCUCGCGUGUAUAAUGUUGCGGCCACUUCUAAUUGGCUGACUGCCUCUCCCUCGAUCAUCGAGGGAGAAAUGUGAAAUC
rnacentral:lncRNA from 1 species